rnacentral:tRNA from 1 species
UCUUCGAUGGUCUAGUGGUGAUGAUUUCCGCUUGUCAAAGCAUCUGCUCUAGCAAGCGCGGGAGACCGGGGUUCGAUUCCCCGUCGGAGAG